rnacentral:rRNA from 1 species
UGAGACUCUGUGCGCGUGCAUAUCAAUAAGCGGAGGAAAAGAAACUAACAAGGAUUCCCUUAGUAACGGCGAGUGAAGCGGGAAGAGCUCAAAUUUGAAAUCUUCAAGGUUUUACCUUGACGAAUUGUAGUUUAAAGAAGUGUUUUCUGUUGGAGUUUUGGUAAAAGUUCUUGGAAUAGGACAUCAUAGAGGGUGAGAAUCCCGUAUUUGACCAUUAUUUCCAGCUGUGUGAUACACUUUCAAAGAGUCGGAUUGUUUGGGAAUGCAGUCCAAAAUGGGUGGUAAAUUUCAUCUAAAGCUAAAUAUUGGCGAGAGACCGAUAGCGAACAAGUACCGUGAGGGAAAGAUGAAAAGAACUUUGAAAAGAGAGUUAAACAGUACGUGAAAUUGUCAAAAGGGAAGCGUUUGACACCAGUGUUGUUUUCUCGAAAAUCAAUUAAAAAUGAUGGGAUUUUGUGUUGUAUUGACUUUAUCAGCUUUCUGCACUUUUUUCUUAUCUUUUUUAAUGCACUUUUCGUUUAACAAGUCAACAUCAAUUUCUUUUGUUGUAAAAGAGUCAUUGGAAGGUGGCUUUUUCUUCGGAAAAAGUGUUUAUAGCCUUUGGCUUCUGCAAUCGGAGAGAUUGAGGUCUGCAGCGUAGAUCCUUCGGGGUUAGAUACAUUUGUGCUAAGUUAUAUGUCUUUAUAGACAACUUGUUGACUAUAAUUAAUCUUGUAACUUACUCGCUUAUGCUAUUUUACCUACGCUUAGGAUGUUGAAGUCAUCGUAUCGCGC